rnacentral:tRNA from 1 species
CCGGGGUGGCCGAGCCAGGACUAAGGCGCCGGCCUCGAGAGCCGGUGCCCCCCUCGGGGCGCGCGGGUUCAAAUCCCGCCCCCGGCGCCA